rnacentral:rRNA from 1 species
CAGGCUUAACACAUGCAAGUCGAGGGGCAGCAUGGUCUUAGCUUGCUAAGACUGAUGGCGACCGGCGCACGGGUGAGUAACACGUAUCCAACCUGCCGUCUACUCUUGGACAGCCUUCUGAAAGGAAGAUUAAUACAAGAUGGCAUCAUGAGUCCGCAUGUUCACAUGAUUAAAGGUAUUCCGGUAGACGAUGGGGAUGCGUUCCAUUAGAUAGUAGGCGGGGUAACGGCCCACCUAGUCUUCGAUGGAUAGGGGUUCUGAGAGGAAGGUCCCCCACAUUGGAACUGAGACACGGUCCAAACUCCUACGGGAGGCAGCAGUGAGGAAUAUUGGUCAAUGGGCGAGAGCCUGAACCAGCCAAGUAGCGUGAAGGAUGACUGCCCUAUGGGUUGUAAACUUCUUUUAUAAAGGAAUAAAGUCGGGUAUGCAUACCCGUUUGCAUGUACUUUAUGAAUAAGGAUCGGCUAACUCCGUGCCAGCAGCCGCGGUAAUACGGAGGAUCCGAGCGUUAUCCGGAUUUAUUGGGUUUAAAGGGAGCGUAGAUGGAUGUUUAAGUCAGUUGUGAAAGUUUGCGGCUCAACCGUAAAAUUGCAGUUGAUACUGGAUAUCUUGAGUGCAGUUGAGGCAGGCGGAAUUCGUGGUGUAGCGGUGAAAUGCUUAGAUAUCACGAAGAACUCCGAUUGCGAAGGCAGCCUGCUAAGCUGCAACUGACAUUGAGGCUCGAAAGUGUGGGUAUCAAACAGGAUUAGAUACCCUGGUAGUCCACACGGUAAACGAUGAAUACUCGCUGUUUGCGAUAUACUGCAAGCGGCCAAGCGAAAGCGUUAAGUAUUCCACCUGGGGAGUACGCCGGCAACGGUGAAACUCAAAGGAAUUGACGGGGCCCGCACAAGCGGAGGAACAUGUGGUUUAAUUCGAUGAUACGCGAGGAACCUUACCCGGGCUUAAAUUGCAGAUGAAUUACGGUGAAAGCCGUAAGCCGCAAGGCAUCUGUGAAGGUGCUGCAUGGUUGUCGUCAGCUCGUGCCGUGAGGUGUCGGCUUAAGUGCCAUAACGAGCGCAACCCUUGUUGUCAGUUACUAACAGGUUCCGCUGAGGACUCUGACAAGACUGCCAUCGUAAGAUGUGAGGAAGGUGGGGAUGACGUCAAAUCAGCACGGCCCUUACGUCCGGGGCUACACACGUGUUACAAUGGGGGGUACAGAGGGCCGCUACCACGCGAGUGGAUGCCAAUCCCCAAAACCUCUCUCAGUUCGGACUGGAGUCUGCAACCCGACUCCACGAAGCUGGAUUCGCUAGUAAUCGCGCAUCAGCCACGGCGCGGUGAAUACGUUCCCGGGCCUUGUACACACCGCCCGUCAAGCCAUGGGAGCCGGGGGUACCUGAAGUGCGUAACCGCGAGGAGCGCCCUAGGGUAAAACUGGUGACUGGGGCUAA